UUUAUGGAGAGUUUGAUCCUGGCUCAGGACGAACGCUGGCGGCGUGCCUAACACAUGCAAGUCGAACGGGGUUUAAGAGGAAGCUUGCGAAUCUUAAACCUAGUGGCGCACGGGUGAGUAACGCGUGGAUAACCUGCCUGGUAGACCGGGAUAACAGCU
rfam:Desulfotomaculum putei DSM 12395 genome assembly, contig: EJ51DRAFT_scaffold00016.16